rnacentral:rRNA from 1 species
GGGCGGUUCGCCGCCGACGACGUCGCGAGAAGUCCACUGAACCUUAUCAUUUAGAGGAAAGAGAAGUCGUAACAAGGUUUCCGUAAGUGAACCUGCGGAAGGAUCAUUG